rnacentral:rRNA from 1 species
UGCCAGCAGCCUCGGUAAUACGGAGGGUGCGAGCGUUGUUCGGAAUCAUUGGGCGUAAAGCGCGUGUAGGCGGGCGUGCAAGUCAGGUGUGAAAGCCCGGGGCUCAACCCCGGAACUGCGCCUGAAACUGCACGUCUUGAGUACGGGAGAGGGAAGCGGAAUUCUUGGUGUAGGGGUGAAAUCCGUAGAUAUCAGGAGGAACACCGAUGGCGAAGGCAGCUUCCUGGACCGAUACUGACGCUGAGACGCGAAAGCGUGGGGAGCAAACAGGAUUAGAUA